AGCAGAGGUGAGUGCGAGCACAAUUGUAUUGUGGUCGGUCAUCUUACACGUCCCGCUUGUGCUUUACAGCGGCACCCGAGGCGGCCAGAUUUCGGAUUACCGCGGCCGCGUCGUGCUUGACAGGGACGAGUGUGCGAGGCCCAUAGUUCGGGUGGUCUGAAUCGGUGAGCCCUGCUCCAGCUGCUACUGGUGUGGCUGAAGAGGAUGUGGCCCAGGAUCUUUCCCGUGCCCCAACUCCUCAUGCCGCAGCUGCGAGAUGGGGGCAACCGGCAGGCCGAGGCGCUGGAGUUACUAGCCGCAAACACCAGGCGGCAGGGCCAGGC